rnacentral:rRNA from 1 species
UCGGUUGAAGGGGGGGUGCUAUACAUGCAGUCGAGCGAAUGGAUUAAGAGCUUGCUCUUAUGAAGUUAGCGGCGGACGGGUGAGUAACACGUGGGUAACCUGCCCAUAAGACUGGGAUAACUCCGGGAAACCGGGGCUAAUACCGGAUAACAUUUUGAACCGCAUGGUUCGAAAUUGAAAGGCGGCUUCGGCUGUCACUUAUGGAUGGACCCGCGUCGCAUUAGCUAGUUGGUGAGGUAACGGCUCACCAAGGCAACGAUGCGUAGCCGACCUGAGAGGGUGAUCGGCCACACUGGGACUGAGACACGGCCCAGACUCCUACGGGAGGCAGCAGUAGGGAAUCUUCCGCAAUGGACGAAAGUCUGACGGAGCAACGCCGCGUGAGUGAUGAAGGCUUUCGGGUCGUAAAACUCUGUUGUUAGGGAAGAACAAGUGCUAGUUGAAUAAGCUGGCACCUUGACGGUACCUAACCAGAAAGCCACGGCUAACUACGUGCCAGCAGCCGCGGUAAUACGUAGGUGGCAAGCGUUAUCCGGAAUUAUUGGGCGUAAAGCGCGCGCAGGUGGUUUCUUAAGUCUGAUGUGAAAGCCCACGGCUCAACCGUGGAGGGUCAUUGGAAACUGGGAGACUUGAGUGCAGAAGAGGAAAGUGGAAUUCCAUGUGUAGCGGUGAAAUGCGUAAAGAUAUGGAGGAACACCAGUGGCGAAGGCGACUUUCUGGUCUGUAACUGACACUGAGGCGCGAAAGCGUGGGGAGACAAACAGGAUUAACAUACCCUGUUAAGUCCACGCCAGUAAACGAUGAGUGCUAAGUGUUAGAGGGGUUUCCGCCCCUUUAGUGCUGAAGUUAACGCAUUAAGCACUCCGGCCUGGGGAGUACGGCCGCAAGGCUGAAUACUCAAAGGAAUUGACGAGGGCCCCGCACAGCUGUUGAGCAUGUGUUUAAUUAGAGCAUCUCGAAGAUCUUAUCUGGUCUGACUUUCGCUGAACUAACCUAGGAGUAUAGUG